rnacentral:other from 1 species
UAUAUCCUGAAAUGCUCGCUUGGGUUUUGUAAUUCAACCUACAAUAAUUCCUUGGGACUUCGACGUUUCUUCUGUGGAUGCCAGGCCUCCUUAUGAGUGGAAGGCAGAAAGCAGAGAACAGAUAACCCACCUGUCUUUAGAUAGGGCGUGAAUUAUAUCCCAGCGGCAUAUCGGGAUUUUU